rnacentral:rRNA from 1 species
AACGAACGCUGGCGGCAUGCCUAACACAUGCAAGUCGAACGAGAUCUUCGGGUCUAGUGGCGCACGGGUGCGUAACGCGUGGGAAUCUGCCCUUUGGUUCGGAAUAACAGUUGGAAACGACUGCUAAUACCGGAUGAUGACGAAAGUCCAAAGAUUUAUCGCCAGAGGAUGAGCCCGCGUAGGAUUAGCUAGUUGGUGUGGUAAAGGCGCACCAAGGCGACGAUCCUUAGCCGGUCUGAGAGGAUGAUCAGCCACACCGGGACUGAGACACGGCCCAGACUCCUACGGGAGGCAGCAGUGGGGAAUAUUGGACAAUGGGCGAAAGCCUGAUCCAGCAAUGCCGCGUGAGUGAUGAAGGCCUUAGGGUUGUAAAGCUCUUUUACCCGGGAUGAUAAUGACAGUACCGGGAGAAUAAGCUCCGGCCAACUCCGUGCCAGCAGCCGCCGCCG